UACGGGGGGGGCUAGCGUUGUUCGGAAUUACUGGGCGUAAAGGGCGCGUAGGCGGCCUACUAAGUCGGACGUGAAAUCCCUCGGCUCAACCGGGGAACUGCGUCCGAUACUGGUGGGCUCGAAUCCGGGAGAGGGAUGUGGAAUUCCAGGUGUAGCGGUGAAAUGCGUAGAUAUCUGGAGGAAUACCAGAGGCGAAGGCGGCUACCUGGACAAUUGCUGACGCUCAGGCACGAAAGCGUGGGGAGCAAAAGGG
rnacentral:rRNA from 1 species